AUUGAACGCUGGCGGCAGGCUUAACACAUGCAAGUCGAGCGGAGUGAUGGUGCUUGCACUAUCACUUAGCGGCGGACGGGUGAGUAAUGCUUAGGAAUCUGCCAUUUAGUGGGGGACAACAUUCCGAAAGGAAUGCUAAUACCGCAUACGUCCUACGGGAGAAAGCAGGGGAUCUUCGGACCUUGCGCUAAAUGAUGAUCCUAAGUCGGAUUAGCUAGUUGGUGGGGUAAAGGCCUCCCAAGGCGAAGAUCUGUAGCGGGUCUGAGAGGAUGAUCCGCCACACUGGGACUGCGACACGGCCCAGACUCCUACGGGAGGUAGCAGUGGGGAAUAUUGGACAAUGGGCGGAAGCCUGAUCCAGCCAUGCCGCGUGUGUGAAGAAGGCCUUUUGGUUGUAAAGCACUUUAAGCGGGGAGGAGGCUACUAGUACUAAUACUACUGGAUAGUGGACGUUACUCGCAGAAUAAGCACCGGCUAACUCUGUGCCAGCCGCCGCCGUAACAC
rnacentral:rRNA from 1 species